GUCCAAUACAUGGACAACAAUACAUCAAAAGUGGGUUUUCCCAAAUGCAUAAUCAAACAUAGAAUAGUCUAGAAAAAAAGCCUUCAAGGUUCAGAGGAAAAAAAUUGAGUAGUUGAACGUAAUGUUCAAAGAAAAGGAAGAUCAUCUUGGCAGAGAAGAUAACAUAGCAAACUCCAUUGCAACAUUUUCCGCCUGAGAUAGAAUUUUCUCAGGUUCAGACUCUCUUCCAUCCAUUGCCAUGGAGCUUGGUGUUGGUGCUCUAACGAAACCAGAUUCUGGCCUAGCUUGGACCAAACAUCAGCUGAGACUGGCAUGCAAAUAAGCAAUGGAAUGCACUCUCCUCUUGACGAUCGCACCAAGGACAAAUUGGAGAUAUGUGAGACAAUCUAGAGUCGAUCUUUGACAUGGUAGAUAGAAGGACCUCCAAUGACAUUUGUAUUUCACCACGGUGGAAAGUUUAAAACCGACAUAAGGGGAAGAAUGAUUUAUGAACCAGAUCACACGGAAGUGUUAAUGGAUAUAUAUUGAGGCAGAUACAGUAGAUAUUUUUUUUGUGAAGGGGUAUUAUAAGGAGUUAGGGUAUGAGGCGAACAACUGCGUUUGGAAGGUUCUCUGAUUGUCUCUAGAGUUUCGCUUAAAGAAGUUAGACGUUGAUGCUGAUUUGAUUGCGAUGAUCAAGUCUUGUAGGAGGAAUAACAAUGUUAUUAACAUAUACUUUGAGCAUGGGGUUUCAGAACCACAACUGGUGGAGGGCGUGUGUAAGAAGUAGCUGUACUUGCAGAUUUUAUGACGUUUGUUCCUACUCCAGGAUUCAAACCUCCUAGGAAAAAGGAUAAGCUUACUUGAUGCUGAUAUCUGAACAUUAUGUGAUUAGGACUAGUGAUAUAUUUUUUGUAUAG